GCCAGAGUGGCGGAAUUGGCAGACGCGUACGGCUUAGGACCGUAUGUCCGAGAGGACUUGUGGGUUCGACUCCCACCUCUGGCA
rnacentral:tRNA from 1 species